rnacentral:rRNA from 1 species
CCUAGUAACGGCGAGUGAAGCGGCAACAGCUCAAAUUUGAAAUCUGGCGUCUUCGGCGUCCGAGUUGUAAUUUGCAGAGGGCGCUUUGGCAUUGGCAGCGGUCCAAGUUCCUUGGAACAGGACGUCACAGAGGGUGAGAAUCCCGUACGUGGUCGCUAGCCUUUACCGUGUAAAGCCCCUUCGACGAGUCGAGUUGUUUGGGAAUGCAGCUCUAAAUGGGAGGUAAAUUUCUUCUAAAGCUAAAUACUGGCCAGAGACCGAUAGCGCACAAGUAGAGUGAUCGAAAGAUGAAAAGCACUUUGGAAAGAGAGUUAAAAAGCACGUGAAAUUGUUGAAAGGGAAGCGCUUGCAGCCAGACUUGCCUGUAGUUGCUCAUCCGGGUUUCUACCCGGUGCACUCUUCUAUAGGCAGGCCAGCAUCAGUUUGGGCGGUUGGAUAAAGGUCUCUGUCAUGUACCUCUCUUCGGGGAGAACUUAUAGGGGAGACGACAUGCAACCAGCCUGGACUGAGGUCCGCGCAUCUGCUAGGAUGCUGGCGUAAUGGCUGUAAGCGGCCCGUCUUGAAACACGGACCAAGGAGUCUAACAUCUAUGCGAGUGUUUGGGUGUCAAGCCCGAGCGCGUAAUGAAAGUGAACGGAGGUGGGAACCUUUCGGGGUGCACCAUCGACCGAUCCUGAUGUCUUCGGAUGGAUUUGAGUAAGAGCAUAGCUGUUGGGACCCGAAAGAUGGUGAACUAUGCUUGAAUAGGGUGAAGCCAGAGGAAACUCUGGUGGAGGCUCGCAGCGGUUCUGACGUGCAAAUCGAUCGUCAAAUUUGGGCAUAGGGGCGAAAGACUAAUCGAACUAUCUAGUAGCUGGUUCCUGCCGAAGUUUCCCUCAGGAUAGCAGUAACGUUUUCAGUUUUAUGAGGUAAAGCGAAUGAUUAGAGGCCUGGGGGUUGAAACAACCUU